UAGGGAAUCUUCGGCAAUGGACGAAAGUCUGACCGAGCAACGCCGCGUGAGUGAAGAAGGUUUUCGGAUCGUAAAACUCUGUUGUUAGAGAAGAACAAGGACGUUAGUAACUGAACGUCCCCUGACGGUAUCUAACCAGAAAGCCACGGCUAACUACGUGCCAGCAGCCGCGGUAAUACGUAGGUGGCAAGCGUUGUCCGGAUUUAUUGGGCGAAAAGCGAGCGCAGGCGGUUUCUUAAGUCUGAUGUGAAAGCCCCCGGCUCAACCGGGGAGGGUCAUUGGAAACUGGGAGACUUGUGAGCAGAAGAGGGGAGUGGAAUUCCAUGUGUAGCGGUGAAAUGCGUCGAUAUAUGGAGGAACAACAGUGGCGAAGGUGGCUCUCUGGUCUGUAACUGACGCUGAGGAUCGAAGGCGUGGGGAGCAAACAGG
rnacentral:rRNA from 1 species